rnacentral:lncRNA from 1 species
AUCCUGAAGACGAUCGUGGGGCAAGUGGACACACAGUUAUGGAUGUCCAUUCGGGGUCAAAAAGGUUUCUCUGACAAGGCUUUGUUGUCGACGACCACGGCUGACGAAGAUUUUCCAUCCCCUGUGAGUGCGGACGCAGUUAAAAGAUACUUCGUGAAGAAUUGACCCGCUGGACAAAAAAGAAAAAGUUCAGGCAAAAAGGGGCAUCCCGGCGAACCAAAAAAAAAAAAGAAAAGGUUCG